CAACCUGCCCGCCACUUGGGGAUAACCUUGCGAAAGUAAGACUAAUACCCAAUGAUAUCUCUAGAAGACAUCUGAAAGAGAUUAAAGAUUUAUCGGUGAUGGAUGGGGAUGCGUCUGAUUAGCUUGUUGGCGGGGUAACGGCUCACCAAGGCAACGAUCAGUAGGGGUUCUGGGAGGAAGGUCCCCCACAUCGGAACUGAGACACGGUCCAAACUCCUACGGGAGGCAGCAGUGAGGAAUAUUGGUCAAUGGACGAGAGUCUGAACCAGCCAAGUAGCGUGCAGGAAGACGGCCCUAUGGGUUGUAAACUGCUUUUAUAAGGGAAUAAAGUGAGUCUCGUGAGACUUUUUGCAUGUACCUUAUGAAUAAGGACCGGCUAAUUCCGUGCCAGCAGCCGCGGUAAUACGGAAGGUCCGGGCGUUAUCCGGAUUUAUUGGGUUUAAAGGGAGCGUAGGCCGGAGAUUAAGCGUGUUGUGAAAUGUAGACGCUCAACGUCUGCACUGCAGCGCGAACUGGUUUCCUUGAGUACGCACAAAGUGGGCGGAAUUCGUGGUGUAGCGGUGAAAUGCUUAGAUAUCACGAAGAACUCCGAUUG
rnacentral:rRNA from 1 species